AUUUUGAAUUUUGAAUUUUGAAAAUUAUGUACUUGUCUCUCUCUUCCUCUCUUAUCGUCUCUCUCUUUCCCUCCCACAACCCUAGCAAAAACCAGUACUUUCUCUUGCUUUCUGCCGUUGCCCCUUUUCUUUCCUCAAACUCUAAAUCUACCGUCGCCCCCUUUUUCCUUGGUCUCAGUUUAUCAUUCCUUUGCUACUCUCAAAAGUAUGUAUUUUCCCUCUUUCUUUCUUCUCUGAUUCUUGUGUUCUCUUGAGUUGCGAACUUCUGUUACUUUUGUUUCACUUUCAUUCUAGCUUCAAAUUCAUUUUAAAAAUUGAAAUUGAAAUGAAAUUAACUAUGUGAACCAACACCAACGUUUGUGUUUUGUUUGUGUUUGAGUUUGUUGUUUUGGAUCUCUCAGCUAUGAAUCUCACUAACGAUAAAUGAUCCAUUUCUACGGUUACUACUGCAACUAUUUCUAUGAAAUCCGGUGAAGGUUCCGAUCAGUUUUCGGCGGGUCUGAGAGUUCUCGUCGUGGAUGAUGAUCCCACGUGUCUGAAAAUCCUCGAGAAGAUGUUGAGGUCGUGUUAUUAUGAAGGGUAAUCUUUCCUGAAAAUUGGAGAUAGACAAUGGUUCUUUUUCUGUCACGAGGAUAGGAAAUAUCCUAACGGUGCAAGGUCUAUUAGAGCAACAAGGCAUGACUAUUGGAAAGCUACAGGAAAUGAUCUUAAUGUGAUAUUCAAUUCUUGGCCAGUUGGAGUUAAAAAGACACUGUUUCGUGCUAUCAUUGGCUGAUGUGGAUCCAAAUCUCAUGAUGGAGGAUUAAAGUAUGGUGUGGACAAGCAAUGACGUUGAAAUUGUGCUUGAGCAUCAAAAUGAAAAGAUUCCUUUGAGUUAUGUUUCAGAAACACAGAGAAGGCAUGUCGUCCCAUUUCAAGCAGAACGUCAUAUAUUGGCUGGCCUUGCCUCAGUGGUAGGUGGUUUAAGUGCACCAUAUGAGAAAGCUUCUCAUGUACAUGAAAGACAUGUUGUGAAUUGGCUUUGGGCAGCCGGUUAUCACCCAUUUGGACCAUUUUCAAAUAUGUCUCAUGUCAGUCAAAUGCUCCUCGAUGUUUCCUUUUUUGAAUGUAUUUAUGAAGUUGAGUUUUUGGUUUUCAGGUGAUUGAGAAAUUGCAAAACCUUGUGAAUUUGCAGGUUGCAUAAUACAUAGGUUGCAGCAUGUAAGUUUAGUCUUCACUAAUGUGAGUUUCAAUUAAUACUAUUAUCAUAUGAAUGACUACACCAAUGUUGUUGUUAGUCUUCACUAUAAUUACAAAUCUUCCUAUGUUAUUGUGGGCUCCGAUUUACAUGUUUGUCAUACAUUUACCUGUGUUAUAUCUAUAACUUAUGGUUAUCUAUUUUGGCUUAUACACAAUGCAGUGUUUUCGUCAUUGCCGUUGGUUAUCAAUUGGCUUAGGGAUAGAAAAGGUAAUUCCGUUGGUUAUCAAUUGUAGCGAGUUUUCGUCAUACAAUGAGUUUGAAGGUGAGAUUCCUGCAGAAUUUGGUAACAUGACAAAUCUUUGAUAUCUUGAUUUGGCUGUAGGAACUCUCAGUGGACAAAUUCCACCCAAACUAGGUAAGCUCUAGAAACUCGCUACAAUUUACUUAUACCGAAACAAAUUCACCGCGAAAAUUCCACCUCAAACUGGCAACAUUAUGUCAUUAGAAUUUUUAGAUUUCUCUGAUAAUCAGAUCACGGUAGAAAUACCCGAAGAACUUGCUAAGUUGGAUAAUUUGCAGCUUUUGAAUUUAAUAAACUAACUGGCCAUAUACCAUAAAAGCUUGGUGAAUUGAAAAACUUACAGGUUCUGGAAUUAUGGAAAAAUUCUUUAAAAGGUUCUUUGCCAAUGAACCUCGGAAUAAAUUCUCCUUUGCAGUGUUUAGACGUGUCGUCAAUAGGAAUUGUUUAUAUUAUGCCUAUUUCGGUUGGAUUCGACAAUAGGAAUUGUUUACAAAGCAGAAAUCCGUAAACCUCAGAUAACAGUAGCAGUGAAGAAACUAUGGAGGCCACUCAGAGACAUAGAAAUUGGGGAGAUUGAGGCACAGGAAUAUUGUAAGACUACUAGGGUAUGUUCACAAUGAAAGAAAUGUGAAAAUGGUGUAUGAGUACAUGCCUAAUGGAAAUCUUGGAACAACACUGCAUGGUGAAGAAUCUGCAAGAUUGCUUGUAGAUUGAGUUCCAAGGUAUAACCUAGCAGUUGUAGAUUGGGUUUCAAGGUAUAACAUAGCAGUUACAGUUUUAAAUUAUGUUUAAGCAUUUUUUCCUUUUGCUGUAUCAAAGAUAUUUCUCUUAUUAAAAACAAUCUUUCAUGGUGAGGGUAUAUUCUGGUCCGGCUUGACCGCCUUCAUGAUUUCUUACUUGUUUGCAUUUUAUGAGAAGUACAUCAAUGAUUCUAUAAGGCAUUUAUACUUAGU